UGUACAAUUAUCAGUUUUCUGCUAUGUGAACCUUUUUAUAGUUCAUUUUCCUCGCCUGACUCGUUAUGGGAGAAUUGGAAAUAAUGGGCAUUCAUUGGUCUUGUUUUGUACGUUCUCUCAUGUUUUCAAUUGUUGCCAUAUUUUAUGAAACUCAUAGCAUAGGUUGAAAUCAGCAAUGUCUUGGACAAGUUCAUUAAUAAAGAAUGUUUCCCCAAGAAAUGUUAAUAAUAUGGAAGAUUACAUUGUAAGUGUUCUCAUGUGUACAAUGCAUAACAAUUUUUGUGAUACUUAUAUCAAUGGUUACUCUCA
rnacentral:lncRNA from 1 species